GACAGAGGGUGCAACGUUGUUCGGAAUUACUGGGCGUAAAGCGCGUGUAGGCGGCCCUGCAAGUCGGGUGUGAAAUCCCACGGCUCAACCGUGGAAGUGCACUCGAAACUGCAGGGCUAGAGUCCUGGAGAGGAAGGUGGAAUGCUUGGUGUAGAGGUGAAAUUCGUAGAUAUCAAGCGGAACACCGGUGGCGAAGGCGGCCUUCUGGACAGUGACUGACGCUGAGACGCGAAAGCGUGGGGAGCAAAC
rnacentral:rRNA from 1 species